UUUUUUCUUUUGCUAUUCUGGGAAUGGAUUUUUAUGAUUAUGUAAAGGAUAUUUAUGACAAAUGGUGCAUAUUAUUAGUACUUGAUGUUGAUGUACUUUCAUUUUGCUGAUGUGAAUGAAGUUGUUUCACGUCGGAUAUUAAUUUAUCUACUGCACAUUUUGUGAAGAUGCAAAAUUAUAAUUAUGUGAUGAUGUUAUACUUUCGUUCUGCUGAAAUAAAUGAAGUUGUUUUCAAUCUGAUAGAUAUUUAUCUUUAAAAAAUAAAAUGUACUUAGUUUAUUGGUGAAAUGAAACUUAUUUGUUUCAGUUGAAUGCCCAGAAGUCCUGGUUAGGAAGUACUUUACAGCAUUGCUUUUGGCUUAUUGGUGAACAGGUGAUCGGGUGAAGGCUUCAGUCAAGGAAGACUAGUAUUAUAAAGCUGAUGGUUUUUUCUGAUGAAAUUUUUCGAAUGGUGAAGGCUUCAGUCAAGGAAGACCAGUAUUAUAAGGCUGAUGGUUUUUGCUGAUGAAGUUUUUCAAAUGGUGAAAGCUCUGAAGUCAUUCUGAGUAUUAUGGUCUGAAGCUGGUUUGUGUAGUGUCUUGAAAGAAUGGCUUCCAGUGAGAAAAUAUGUUUACCAUAUUUUACUAAUUUUUUAGAUUUUUAAUACCCAAAUUUUUUGUUGACUUCUAUCAUUCUGGAGAGGGACAGAAGAUCUACAGUAUAAGAGUACAGACUGUACUUGAGUUUUGACCUCUACAACUUACAUCCUGUGCCCCUAAGUCCAAAUUAUGCAAUAAAUUAACAGUUCAGGAAAUGAAUCUCACUAUAGCUAACAACAGUGCUAUUACCCCUGGAUGUCUGGAUGAUCAGGAAAUAAACCUCACUCUAGCUAACAACAUUGCUAUUAAUCCUGGAUGUCUGGAUGAUCAAUCACCGCGCUUUGCUAUUCUAUUCUUUUUUUUUAUUUUCCUUGGUCAUGCUUGUACCUCAGUAUAUGCUCAUGCAAGUUACACUGAAACCCUGAUAUGAGUAUUAAAUGGAAGCCUUCCUCAUAUUUUACUACUCAGGAGAAUAGGAGGAGGCUGGAACUUGACAAGGAGAAAGGAAGAAAAGUAAAGGACAUCUGUAAUUCCAUUCCAUUUUGCAGUUCCAUUCCAUUGUCCAGACUGCACUAAAUGAUCGUGCCCCCAGUGCUUGGGCUUUGGUUCGUGUAGCAUCAUCAACAUUAUUACCCUCCAGGCUCUGUAAAGGAGGAAAAAACUGUUCAGUGUGUGACUUUCAUUGAAGUAAGAUCACACAAUAUACACCUAUGCGAAAAUAAAAAAACAUUUAGAAAAAAUGCAGGGCAGACGUGGAAGAUGUUCAUACAUAGCUAACUGAAGUUUAAUGUAUUGCUGGGUGUUGAUCUGUGACCUGGACUCAGGUAGACAUAAGUUAUUUAUUGUUUGUGUAAUUUUUUUUUCUGUUGUACCUGUUUGGCAAAAUAAAUGAAAUGUCUUGUAUA